rnacentral:rRNA from 1 species
UACAGAGGGUGCGAGCGUUAAUCGGAAUUACUGGGCGUAAAGCGUGCGUAGACGGUUAUUUAAGUCGGAUGUGAAAUCCCCAGGCUUAACCUGGGAACUGCAUCUGAUACUGGAUGGCUUGAAUCCGGGAGAGGGAUGCAGAAUUCCAGGUGUAGCGGUGAAAUGCGUAGAUAUCUGGAGGAAUACCGGUGGCGAAGGCGGCAUCCUGGACCGGCAUUGACGCUGAUGAGCGAAAGCUAGGGGAGCAAACGGG